rnacentral:rRNA from 1 species
GACGAACGCUGGCGGCGUGCCUAAUACAUGCAAGUCGAACGAGUGGCGGACGGGUGAGUAAUGUCUGGGAAACUGCCCGAUGGAGGGGGAUAACUACUGGAAACGGUAGCUAAUACCGCAUACCAUCGGAUGUGCCCAGAUGGGAUUAGCUAGUAGGUGGGGUAACGGCUCACCUGGGCGACGAUCCCUAGCUGGUCUGAGGGUAGGACCAGCCACCCUGGAACUGGGACACGGUCCAGCCUCCUACGGGAGGCAGAAGUGGGGAAUAUUGCACAAUGGGCGCAAGCCUGAUGCAGCCAUGCCGCGUGUAUGAAGAAGUCCUUCGGGUUGUAAAGUACUUUCAGCGAGGAGGCGUUACUCGCAGAAGAAGCCCCGGCUAACUCCGUGCCAGCAGCCGCGGUAAUUC